rnacentral:rRNA from 1 species
AUGACAUAUUGUCUUGAACAUCCUAGAAGGACGAUGCUCCUGAUGCCUGUAGAACCUUUUGAACCUAAUAAAUCAUGCUAUGUCUGCUCUGAGACCCCUCUUCUGCUGGAUGUCAACACUAAGGCCACGAAGCUUAGGGAGGUUAUCGACAAGAUUAUAAAAAGCAAACUUGGAAUGAUCCUCUCGUUGGUAAUGAUUGGAUCUACACUUGUUUUUGAGGAUGGUGAUGGCUUAGAGGAAGACGAGGCUGCAAACUAUGCUUCAAACCUUGAGAAUGUACUAUCCUCAUAG